CAUUAGAGAGUGUUGCUGACACCAAAUUGUUAUUUUAUUUUGAAUGAGGUGAAUUAUUUCUUUUUUUAUACACUCAAAAUAGUUUAUGAUUAUCAAUUGUUCAAGAGCUCUACAAACAGAAGCAGCUGCAAGUAUUGCCUUUAUAAGUUGAGCAGCCUCAGAAAAAGUCAGAAUGUCCCUCCCUGCCUUGAAGCCAGUUUGUUUGACAUGAAUGCUGCAGCCUGGUCCAAAUGAGGAUACGAUGGAUGGAAAAAUGGAAUACAGCACAAAUGGGACAUUUGGAAUGACAAGAAGAACUAUCAUCCAAGACUCUUGCCUCCUUCCUUUGCUUCGCAUUCUCUUUGGGUGGACUUUCUAUGGUGACACCAUGGUGCUUAUCCCUCGGUAACUCAACAAGAGAGGCACAUUCUUCUCAUCAGUCAGGAGACUGUACAGCGCCUGCCACUCGUCACCUGUUAGGUUUUGGGGUUCCUUGAAGAAGGGAGAGAAUAGGAAGAUAGCUACCCCAUUGACUUCCCUUGGAGGCACUUGACUAUCCUGAGAAAUAAAUUGAAGAAGCAUGAAGAACACUGGAAAGAAAUCAGAAGACCAAGCUGUAUGCCUCGUCCCAGUAUUAACCAUGCAUUAUGGUGUUUCAUGCUGUAUCAUAAAAUUUUAGAUGGUUGUACCACUCCAUAAAAAAGAGAUUAAUUACAGAUAUAGAUAUAGUUAACUUUACUGUGAAGAAAUCCAGUGGACAUUUUCUUAACCAAGUGCAAAGUUGACAUCACCCAUAUUUGGACAAACACUAUUUGCCUCCUGGUAUCAUGCACUAAGGGCAUGUUGUUCAAGUUAUAUUCCUGCCAAAGAAAGCCUAACAGGAAACUGAAAUCAAAGGACAAUCUACACAACAACUGGCCUCUACUCCUCAAAACAUCAAGGUCAUAAAACAAAGAAUGGAAGAGUCAUUAUUCCAAUGCUUGAAAACUAAAGAUACAACUAAAUAUAAAGAGUGAACCUGGGUUGAAUCUGAGAUCAAGAGGGGAAAGAGCUAUAAAAGACUUAUUUAAUGAAGUUGAAAUGAAGACUUGGAUUACAUAAUAGCAUCAUAACAAUCAAAUUUUCU